GUGAGGAAUAUUGCGCAAUGGAGGCAACUCUGACGCAGCCAUGCCGCGUGCAGGAAGAAGGCGCUACGCGUUGUAAACUGCUUUUAACCGGGAAGAAACCCCAGGACGUGUCCUGGGUUGACGGUACCGGAGGAAUAAGCACCGACUAACUUCGUGCCAGCAGCCGCGGUAAUACGAAGGGUGCAAGCGUUAUCCGGAUUCAUUGGGUUUAAAGGGUGCGUAGGCGGAGCGUUAAGUCAGUUGUGAAAUCCUGCAGCUUAACUGUAGACUUGCCAUUGAUACUGGCGCUCUUGAGUGCGGUUGAAGUUGGCGGAAUGUGCCGUGUAGCGGUGAAAUGCUUAGAUAUGGCACAGAACACCAAUUGCGAAGGCAGCUCACUAAGGCGAUACUGACGCUGAGGCACGAAAGCGUGGGGAUCGAACAGGAUUAGAAACCCCAGUAGUCC
rnacentral:rRNA from 1 species